AGCACCAGGACUUCUAAAUAACUGCCAGGAGGAUACGCUAAUUUAAAGAUAUCUUUCAAAGAAAACAUUUUAUUGUAUGUCUAUAUGUUUUACCAAGAGAUACACGAACCACCAAGAGACCACUACCGAAUUAAAGGAUAUGUGCAAGUCUUGCACGAGAUUUGGCAGAAAAUAUCAACUCAAAACCAACUAGCACCGCUUCUACCUGAACUACCGCCU